GAUGAACGCUGGCGGCGUGCCUAAUACAUGCAAGUCGAGCGAACGGACGAGGAGCUUGCUCCUUUGACGUUAGCGGCGGACGGGUGAGUAACACGUGGAUAACCUACCUAUAAGACUGGGAUAACUUCGGGAAACCGGAGCUAAUACCGGAUAAUAUAUUGAACCGCAUGGUUCAAUAGUGAAAGACGGUUUUGCUGUCACUUAUAGAUGGAUCCGCGCCGCAUUAGCUAGUUGGUAAGGUAACGGCUUAUCAAGGCAACGAUGCGUAGCCGACCUGAGAGGGUGAUCGGCCACACUGGAACUGAGACACGGUCCAGACUCCUACGGGAGGCAGCAGUAGGGAAUCUUCCGCAAUGGGCGAAAGCCUGACGGAGCAACGCCGCGUGAGUGAUGAAGGUCUUCGGAUCGUAAAACUCUGUUAUUAGGGAAGAACAAAUGUGUAAGUAACUAUGCACGUCUUGACGGUACCUAAUCAGAAAGCCACGGCUAACUACGUG
rnacentral:rRNA from 1 species